rnacentral:rRNA from 1 species
GGGGGCAUCUUAACGGGGAAACCCUGAUCAGCCAUGCCGCGUGAGUGAUGAAGGCCUUCGGGUGGUAAAGCUCUUUCUUCAGGGAAGAAAUGGAGAGUGCUAAUACCAUGGGGAGAUGAUGGUUCCUGCCUAAUAAGCACCGGCUUACUACGUGCCAGCAGCCGCGGUAAUAA